GUAUUCCCUCUCUUCUUCCUCAACAGUCCUAUCAAUCAGCAAUUUCUAUAUUCAUAUCUCUCUCCCACUCCUCUAUAUUUCUUUUUCCUCUAUCUGAUAAUUGCUCAUCGCUUCUGGGUAUCAUCCAUUUUCGGUUUCUAAUUUUCUAGCUUUUAUUUCAUUCGCUACUUCUGAUGAUGAGAUUUUAAACUCUGCAAACGGAUGGACCCAAGGUGUUCGGCGCGAUAUGCCUGAAACAACACAAAACUAUUUGCUUCAGGCGACGAUGAAUUUUUUGAAGCUCUGGCAAUGAUGUUGAUGUUGGUGACAAACAGAUUGGAAAAAAUGCCGGUGAAUACUGCGUUGUAUUUAAACCUUUCAAUAGUCAGAUCUUGGAUGCAGUAGUUGCCAUAAUUCACAAAUUUAUGGAAAGAGAGCUUGAAACCUUAGUAGCUUUUGGCUGAGUUCGUAGCGGUUCACCAAGAUGAAAAGAAGUUCAACGAUCAUGCGCUUGAAGAAUUCCUGAAAUUUACUUAGCUAAACCCCUCCAUUAGCGGAAAAGAAGUGACUUGAAGGUGCUAAAAGAAGCUCUUGACAUAAAUUGGCUUUUCGUGUGUUAAUACAUUUCAUUAGACAAAAUGCAUUCAGAGCAUGAAGAUCAACAAUUGAGACCAAAUUACUUCUCAACUAAGGCGGUAUGGUGUAACCUAUUUCACUGAAACUUGUACCAGUAGAAGUUCCACCAGAUCAUCCCUUAAGGGAAUCUAAAAUCUUGGAAUUAGACAUGCGGCUGGUUCUGAUACUUUCAUCAAAUACUAUUGCAAAAAGAAGGCUUAUAGCAAUCAAGGUCUAUUGUAUAACAUAGUUACUGAAAUGAAUGUACAUUGUAUGGAGCUAUUAUGUAAGUAUCUAAUCAGCAUGAUCAUAUGUUUCCUCUUUAUGUAAAUGGUUAUUAUGCUAAACAAUUGAAAUAA